AGCGAACGCUGGCGGCAGGCCUAACACAUGCAAGUCGAGCGAACCCUUCGGGGUUAGCGGCGGACGGGUUAGUAACGCGUGGGAACGUGCCCAAAGGUACGGAAUAGCCUCGGGAAACUGAGAGUAAUACCGUAUGUGCCCCUCGGGGGAAAGAUUUAUCGCCUUUGGAUCGGCCCGCGUUGGAUUAGGUAGUUGGUGGGGUAAUGGCCUACCAAGCCGACGAUCCAUAGCUGGUUUGAGAGGAUGAUCAGCAACACUGGGACUGAGACACGGCCCAGACUCCUACGGGAGGCAGCAGUGGGGAAUCUUAGACAAUGGGGGAAACCCUGAUCUAGCCAUGCCGCGUGGACGAUGAAGGCCUUAGGGUUGUAAAGUCCUUUCAGCUGGGAAGAUAAUGACGGUACCAGCAGAAGAAGCCCCGGCUAACUCCGUGCCAGCCGCCGCGGUAACAC
rnacentral:rRNA from 1 species